rfam:Schistosoma margrebowiei strain Zambia genome assembly, scaffold: SMRZ_scaffold0004425
AUCCAUCUGAAAAGCCCUGAAUAGGACGAAACGCGCGUCCUGGAU